UACGUAGGGGGCAAGCGUUGUCCGGAAUUAUUGGGCGUAAAGGGCGCGCAGGGGGUUCCUUAAGUCUGAUGUGAAAGCCCGCGGCUCAACCGCGGAGGGUCAUUGGAAACUGGGGAACUUGAGUACAGAAGAGGAAAGUGGAAUUCCAAGUGUAGCGGUGAAAUGCGUAGAGAUUUGGAGGAACACCAGUGGCGAAGGCGACUCUCUGGUCUGUAACUGACACUGAGGCGCGAAAGCGUGGGGAGCGAACAGG
rnacentral:misc_RNA from 1 species